rnacentral:rRNA from 1 species
UACAGAGGUCUCAAGCGUUGUUCGGAUUCAUUGGGCGUAAAGGGUGCGUAGGCGGCGCGGUAAGUCGGGUGUGAAAUCUCGGAGCUUAACUCCGAAACUGCAUUCGAUACUGCCGUGCUUGAGGACUGGAGAGGAGACUGGAAUUUACGGUGUAGCGGUGAAAUGCGUAGAUAUCAAGCAGAACACCUGCGGCGAAGGCGGCCUUCUGGACGAUGACUGACGCUGAGACGCGAAAGCGUGGGGAGCAAACAGG